GGAGGGUGCAAACGUUGUCCGGAAUUACUGGGCGUAAAGGGCGCGUAGGCGGACUUGUAAGUCAGGAGUGAAAACUCAGGGCUCAACCCUGAGCCUGCUUCUGAAACUGCAAGUCUUGAGGACCGGAGAGGAAAGUGGAAUUCCUAGUGUAGCGGUGGAAUGCGUAGAUAUUAGGAAGAACACCAGUGGCGAAGGCGACUUUCUGGACGGUACCUGACGCUGAGGCGCGAAAGCUAGGGGAGCAAACAGGAUUAGAUACCCUGGUAGUCCUAGCUGUAAACGAUGAGUGCUAGGUGGUGGUAGUUUCAACGCUUUCACUGCCGAAGCUAACGCAUUAAGCACUCCGCCUGGGGAGUACGGCCGCAAGGUUG
rnacentral:rRNA from 1 species